rnacentral:rRNA from 1 species
AUGCAGGCGCGCCACGAGGAGUGGAUGGCCAAGCACGGGCGCAAGUACAAGGACGACGCAGAGAAGGCGCUGCGCUUCCAGGUGUUCAAGGCCAACUCCGAGCUUGUCGCCGGGUCCAACGCCGACGGCACCAAGAAGUACCACCUGGCCGUCAACAAGUUCGCCGACCUGACCAGCGAGGAGUUCGCCGCCAGGUACACCGGGUUCAAGCCCGCGCCACCGGGACCCAAGAUGCUGCCCGGAUUCAAGUAUGAGAACAUCAGCCUCUCUGACGCCGAUGAGCAGGGCAUUGACUGGAGGACCACAGGCGCAGUUACCGGUGUAAAGUACCAAGGACGGUGUGGAUGCUGA